UACGUAGGAGGCAAGCGUUGUUCGGAAUCACUGGGCGUAAAGGGCGCGUAGGUGGUUUGAUAAGGGUGUGGUGAAAGUCCGGGGCUCAACUCCGGAUCUGCCGUGCCGACUGUCAAACUCGAGGGCUGUAGAGGCAGACGGAAUUCCGGGUGUAGCGGUGGAAUGCGUAGAGAUCCGGAGGAAGACCGGUGGCGAAGGCGGUCUGCUGGGCAGUUUCUGACACUGAGGCGCGACAGCGUGGGGAGCAAACAGG
rnacentral:rRNA from 1 species